rnacentral:rRNA from 1 species
AAUCAACGCUGGCGGCGUGCCUAACACAUGCAAGUCGAACGGUGACGAGGAGCUUGCUCCUCCGAUCAGUGGCGAACGGGUGAGUAACACGUGAGUAACCUGCCCCAGACUCUGGAAUAACAGUUGGAAACAGCUGCUAAUACCGGAUACGAGACGGAGAGGCAUCUCUACCGUCUGGAAAGUUUUUCGGUCUGGGAUGGACUCGCGGCCUAUCAGCUUGUUGGUGAGGUAAUGGCUCACCAAGGCGACGACGGGUAGCCGGCCUGAGAGGGCGACCGGCCACACUGGGACUGAGACACGGCCCAGACUCCUACGGGAGGCAGCAGUGGGGAAUAUUGCACAAUGGGCGCAAGCCUGAUGCAGCAACGCCGCGUGAGGGAUGACGGCCUUCGGGUUGUAAACCGUACUUUCAGUAGGGAAGAAGCGAAAGUAGACGGUACCUACAGAAGAAGACACCGG